rnacentral:rRNA from 1 species
AUUGAACGCUGGCGGCAUGCUUUACACAUGCAAGUCGAACGGUAACAGGCCGCAAGGUGCUGACGAGUGGCGAACGGGUGAGUAAUGCAUCGGAACGUGCCCAGUCGUGGGGGAUAACGCAGCGAAAGCUGUGCUAAUACCGCAUACGAUCUAUGGAUGAAAGCGGGGGACCGUAAGGCCUCGCGCGAUUGGAGCGGCCGAUGUCAGAUUAGGUAGUUGGUGGGGUAAAGGCCUACCAAGCCAACGAUCUGUAGCUGGUCUGAGAGGACGACCAGCCACACUGGGACUGAGACACGGCCCAGACUCCUACGGGAGGCAGCAGUGGGGAAUUUUGGACAAUGGGCGCAAGCCUGAUCCAGCAAUGCCGCGUGCAGGAAGAAGGCCUUCGGGUUGUAAACUGCUUUUGUACGGAACGAAAAGCCCUGGGUUAAUACCCUGGGGUCAUGACGGUACCGUAAGAAUAAGCACCGGCUAACUACGUGCCAGCCGCCGCGGUAAGAC